CACAUGCGCAGUUCAUCCAUUUCUCCCUAACCUCCAGCUGCUUUCCCGGGCCUCAGCCCACGAAUAGCUGCAGCAAAAGGGACAGUUUAUGAAGGAGAAGGUCCAGAGGCACCUGGCAGUGCGCCAUUCCUCCCAUGGCCUGUCUCUGAGAGGAUGACAAAAGAGGGGGAACAGGCUAUAACAAAGUCACGAGGGGGGAAGCUUGACUGCCUAUUUUCUGGACUGACUUGUGCAACGCAGCCUUGUGCAAUGUGGUCCCAUGGAUUUGUGGGUAAGGAUGCCAAGUAUGCACCCUGUAAACAGACCAUGGCACGCUAUCUCCAUUGGACUGGAAGUUCUUAUUCUGGGACCUGGAGUCACCUUCCCUGGGGAGAUGCCUCUUCACCACAGAUAGCCAACAACAACAAAGGGGUAAUCUCAUCCAAGUCCAGUUUGGUGCAAAGAACCCAGUGGGUUCUUUUUAAGAGACAAGCAUAAAUGAAGGGUUAGUUACAGAAGUGUGGGUGACCCUCCCAAAAGUUCUGUCAUAACAAAGCCCCGCCCAGUCAUAGAUGGCAACCUCAUGGAAGCUGCAGCACGGUGGUCCCUUUCAGUUAACUGGCUAGCUUCUUGUAAUCUAACAUCUCCCAUAGAUCACUUGCAGGUGAUGGUGUCUUGAUUCCCCUCUCCCGUAGGGAAUGCCAGUAUCUCCUUGACCAUAGCCAUAGACUUGAGUAGCACUGUAUUAUUCUGCUGUGGUCGCCAUGGCUCCUGGGGGGUUAGGGUGGGGGCAAAGUCCAAGAUGGCAUCUGAUAGGUUAUUUCUAGCCGGGUGAAAUGAGCCAAUUCAAGGCAGAUUAGAUUAUAUUAAAUGCACGUUUAUGGGGGAAGUGCUUUUGGACAAGGUUCCAAGGACUGAGGCCAGGGAAGUCACCAGGCGGAGGGACAGGAGAGAGGAGGAAGAG
rnacentral:lncRNA from 1 species